rnacentral:sRNA from 1 species
CAGUAGUGUGCGCGAGGGAUAGCAGCGGCAUCCUUUUGCGGCGUUUACAAAGCAAAAGAUAAAGCGGAUAGCCCGACGGCGG